GGGGCUGCCUUCUUCUGACUGACUGUCUAUAUAGCUCCCUCCCCGGCUGCUCAUCCGCCGUUCUCCUCCCCUCCCCUUCGCUGUCCUGUCCGCUGCUCAUCCUUCUUGAUCGCAUGAGACGGACAGGCUGAGAGAAGCUGGUUUGAUUGGUUGGGUUGGGUUGGUUGUGAUCACCAUCAUGAGCUGCAACGGCUGCCGGGUGCUGCGGAAGGGGUGCAGCGACGGCUGCGUGCUGCGGCCGUGUCUGCAGUGGAUCGACGCCGCCGACGCGCAGGGCCACGCCACCGUCUUCGUCGCCAAGUUCUUCGGCCGCGCCGGCCUCCUCUCCUUCAUCUCCGCCGUCCCCGACGCGCAGCGACCUGCGCUGUUCCAGUCGCUGCUGUACGAGGCGGCGGGGCGGACCAUCAACCCGGUGCACGGCGCGGUGGGGCUGCUCUGGACGGGGAACUGGCACCUCUGCCAGGCCGCCGUCGACACCGUGCUGCGUGGAGGCUCCAUCGGCCCGCUGCCGGAGCUCGCCGGCGCCGGCGGGGACCUCUACGGCGCCGCCAGGCGCAACGGCGGCUGGUCGACCUUCUCCACGGCGAAGCGGGUGAGGAAGGCCGAGGUGCCUGCAGCCCCGUCGUGCGACCUGGGUCUGUGCCUCAGCCCCGGCUCUCCGCCGGCGGCGGGGGAGAGGAGAGCAGCGCUCCGGCGGCCGGGAACGCCGUCGAUGAGCUCCGACGAGUCCGUCACCACAACCGGCGGCGAGAGGGAUCCCGUGCUGCUCAACCUUUUUGUCUGAGGCCCGGUCAUCAAGCCAGCUACAAGCUAGCUAAUCCUAAUCCGUUGCUUGAGUGACCACCGUGUACUGGAUCCCGGCGGUGAAGCAGUAGUGAUUUUUUUUCUCGCCGGCGAGCCUAGCUAGCUUCUUAUUCUUUUCCUCCCCUUUUACUAGUCUUGGUUUUUGCCGUGUACGUAGAAAAGAAAUUACCGGCCGGCCUGGACGCCCCGUUUGCGUGGGCGAGAUGACAGCGCCGGUGGCCACCUCCUGCUCCAGUUGUGGAGCUGCAGGCAGGUUCAUUUCAAACAAAGGAAAAUAUGUACAAAUCAAUUUCAUACCAGGACUUAGAACAAAGAAUUGGACCCUAGGAAUUCCAAAGAAAAAGGCUAUUAUGCAGAAAUGGUAGAGGUUGAUAUUAGGAGGGAGUAUGUUUCUCGGGGCUAAACUUUAGCCCCUAGUUACAUCGGAUGUUUAGACAUUUAUUAUAAAUAAUAAACGUAGUCUAUAAAUAAAACACAUGCAUAAUUUUGGACUAAUUUGUGAGAUGAGUCUAAUUAAUUCAUGAUUAGUCUGUGUGAUGCUACUCAUUUAUUAUC